GGGUUGUGAGGUUAAGCGACUAAGCGUACACGGUGGAUGCCCUGGCAGUCAGAGGCGAUGAAGGGCGUGCUAAUCUGCGAUAAGCGCCGGUAAGGUGAUAUGAACCGUUAUAACCGGCGAUACCCGAAUGGGGAAACCCAGUGUGACUCGUCACACUAUCAUUAACUGAAUCCAUAGGUUAAUGAGGCGAACCGGGGGAACUGAAACAUCUAAGUACCCCGAGGAAAAGAAAUCAACCGAGAUUCCCCCAGUAGCGGCG
rnacentral:rRNA from 1 species